AAUUACAAUCUGGCCCUGCCACCUCACCCAAAAUUCAAGUCGGCGCGGUAAGGUAGUCAUCGUCUAUACACGAACCCAUUCCCCCCAACACACAAUCGCACCGCCGCAAAACACAAACGCUCCAAAACAAUCAAUCAAUGGCGAGCAAUCCGAGCCGUCUGUUCUCACCAGCAAAUCUGAGCCGUCUGUUCUCAUCGGAACCAACUAAACUAGGGCUACUAACUUCCGAAAUUUCCGCCUCCGCGAGGCGAUUGAUCUCAUACACAUCUCAGAAGCUUCACGAAACGCAACAACACGAGAAGCCGGUCUCCGGAGACGGCGAUAAAAUCGUCGACGAGAAAGUGAACGACGGCGAUCGCGAAAGCGAUGAAGAAGAGGAUGAAGAUAGUUUGGAUAUAAAUAAAGCGACCGGUGAGAUCGGAGGUCCUAAAGGCCCCGAGCCUACUCGCUUCGGCGAUUGGGAAAAGAACGGACGCUGCUCUGAUUUUUAAUUUUUUUUUAAUCAGGUUCUGUGGGCUGCAGUUGUCGAAGAAGAAUUGGUUACACGACACCAGAAAGAUUAUGCAGAAGAUAUAAGGCGAUACAGACCCCUUCAUACUCUCUGAUGCCAUUGAUUUAGACAAGGGAGAUUGUAAUAACAUGCUUGUACUAGUUGAAGAUAUGAAUAAUUUGAGAUUACUUUUGGCGUUUAUAAACUUACAGGAUUAAUACGAGGUAUUCUUGAUUUAAUUUUA